CUUCUCACGCAUAACACGUCUCUUUUCUUUUUCUUCCGCGUUGCGAUUCUGGUCUCUGUUUUUCCUUCUCUCCUCUAUUUUCUCUUUGUAUAGAUCUCUUUCCUUCUUGAUUUAUGGACAAAGGAUGGGGUCUAGCCCUUGAUUCUGAUCCUCAUAUCUCCUUCAACAAGCCUUCUUCUGCGCCUGUACUCGAUUCUUUCUUCAAGAUUAAAAAAAAUCUUGACGUGCCUGACUCCGUUAAGAUGUUUCCCUUUCCUGUUACUGUUUCCCGCCGGGAUGACCAUGCUUCUCCGUCUGCGGCCGAUGACAACCGUGUUGUUGUUGGUGAAGUCGACUUCUUUUCUGAUAGCAAGAAUAUAGCUGUUAGCGAUAAAAGAAAUGACGAUGAUGAGUCUAAAGCCACAUGUGUCACUGUCAAGAAGGAGAAUUCUUACGGUGAAGCCGCUCCAAGGUCAAGCCUCCAUGUAAAUACUGGAUUGCACCUUCUCACUGCUAACACUGGAAGUGAUCAGUCGACGGUGGAUGAUGGGGUAUCAUCGGACGUUGAUGAUAAACGAUCAAAAAGUGAGCUGGCACAAUUGCAAGUAGAGCUCCAAAGGAUGAAUGUAGAAAAUCAAAGGUUGAGAGACAUGCUUAGUCAAGUAACCAACAAUUACAAUGCUUUACAGAUGCAUCUCGUAGCUUUGAUGCAGCAGCAGCAGCAGCUACAGCAACAGCAACAAAACCAUGGAACUGAAGCCAACCAAGAACAUGAGGUUGUUCAAGUAAAGCCUGAGGAAAAGAAGCACGAGGUGGUGCCAAGACAAUUUUUAGAUCUUGGCCCUUCAGCUGAGACCGAUGAAAUGUCUCAUUCAUCGUCUGAUGAGAGGACCCGUUCAGCCACACCUCUAGCCAAUAUGGAAACAGCAUCCGUGAAAAAUAGUGCGAACCAGGAGAAUUCUAGUUUCAGGGAUGGCAAAAGAAUUGGCAGAGAAGAAAGCCCUGAUUCUGGAUCACAAGGUUGGAAUCAUAGCAAGGUUCAAAAAUUGAAUUCCCCCCCUAGUAAGGGUAUUGAUCAAUCCACUGAGGCCACCAUGAGAAAAGCUCGUGUCUCAGUUCGAGCCCGAUCAGAAGCUCCCAUGAUCACUGAUGGAUGCCAAUGGAGAAAAUAUGGACAGAAGAUGGCCAAAGGAAACCCAUGUCCUAGAGCCUACUAUAGGUGCACCAUGGCAGUCGGUUGUCCAGUUCGCAAACAGGUUCAACGUUGUGCUGACGAUAGAACGAUCUUGAUAACAACUUAUGAAGGCAGUCAUAAUCACCCUUUGCCUCCAGCUGCCGUGGCAAUGGCAUCCACAACAACAGCAGCUGCAAGCAUGCUACUUUCUGGGUCAAUGUCAAGUGCAGAUGGGUUAAUGAACCCAAAUUUGCUAGCGAGAGCAAUCCUUCCAUGCUCAUCCAGUAUGGCAACAAUUUCAGCUUCAGCUCCAUUCCCAACUGUAACAUUAGACCUUACCCACAACCCAAAUUCACAACAAGUCCUAAGGCCUCCCACCCAUUUACAGGUCCCUUUUGCAGGCCAACCCCAGAAUUUUGCCUCUGUCACAGCCCCACAAUUGCCCCAGGUUUUUGGUCAAGCCCUUUAUAACCAAUCAAAAUUCUCUGGCCUCCAGUUGUCUCAGGAAAUGGGGUCCUCGCAAUUACACCACCAAUCUCAACCCCAACAAUUGCAACCAGCACAGCAGCCCUCAUUAGUUGACACAGUCAAUGCUGCGACGGCUGCCAUCACUGCGGAUCCCAACUUCACUGCAGCACUGGCUGCUGCCAUCUCUUCCAUUAUUAGUGGUGCUAACGGCAACGCCACCACCAGCAACAAUAACGGCAAUAUUACCAACAACACAAGCAACAGAAACUAGAGGGGGUUCUUAUAUUGUUUUUAUCCUUUAUUGUUAGAGUUUCUCGGUGUCCUUUCUUUUAGUUCUUCGUUUUUUGGUGUCCAUAUUUUUUUUUUCUUCUUGGGGGAAAGAGGGAUUAAUUAGAACACAAAAUUACAUUUCUUUGUUAUUAUUUCAUUAUGAAUUACUUUGUUUCUUAUUGUCUAGGAAUUAAUACAGGAAAAGAAAGGAAUAUUUCAAUUAUGAC
rnacentral:misc_RNA from 1 species